CGGAGCUUUCAAAGGCGUCACGGCUUCGUAAUUAUCAUCUUUCCAUUCAUUCUCUCGUACACAAUGCUCCGUUUGGUCUCACUGAUCAUGUGAACCAAGCACUCUCAACCACGGUCCUGGGACUUGGCUAUCUCUUUGUUGCGGCCAGAAGCUCACGAAGCUCUUGACUCAAUCGCCAUCAGAAGUUUCCAAGAGUUAAGGAAGAUGAGGAUGCCAUCUUUCUUUUUCAAAUUGGGAUGUGAUCCAGCUCUGAUAUCAUAUUCGAGAUAGGAAAUCACAAAUGUUGGCCGGUCAAGGAUCAGCGACGGAUCAUGAUCAUUGAGGUUGGAUCAUGUACGUCUUCAAGUUCUGGAGAUCGCAGGUGCCCAACGUUAUUUCUCAGCGUUAUUUCUCAGCUCGCAGGUCUUGCCCUGAGCGCAGCAAUCAAAGCGCUGACAAUCUCUCCAAAACGUUGCUAACCUAGUAUGGCACACGCUGUGACAUGGCGUUUUUCAGUUCUUAUCGUCGUUGAGCAACACCAGGCUUCUUCAUGACAAGAAAUUAGAACAAAUCGAAAGACACGAGAACCUGUGUCACUGGCUCCCUUUUGCGUUGCAAUCGAAAAGAAAGAGCGAACCUGGUUGGUGUUUCAACACAAAUUCUUGAUCCCCUCUAGCCUUUCUUUUAUGGCAUUGGAUUAGGCAACGAGGAUCAUGUUGUAGGAGAGGAGAUUGGGCUUUCAAAAACCUACCUUUGAUUGUAGCUUCAAAUCUUUAGUUGUCGUUUUUCUAUUGUAAAGGAGCAAUCCAUGGAUUCCACGCCCUAA